UACGUAGGGUGCGAGCGUUAAUCGGAAUUACUGGGCGUAAAGCGCACGUAGGCGGUCUUGUAAGUCGGGUGUGAAAGCCCGGGGCUUAACCCCGGAAGUGCACUCGAAACUGCAAGGCUUGAGUAUGGAAGAGGGUCUCGGAAUUCCCGGUGUAGAGGUGAAAUUCGUAGAUAUCGGGAGGAACACCAGUGGCGAAGGCGGAGACCUGGGCCAAUACUGACGCUGAGGUGCGAAAGCGUGGGGAGCAAACAGG
rnacentral:rRNA from 1 species